rnacentral:rRNA from 1 species
UGCGCAGGCGGGCUUGUAAGUCAGUGGUGAAAUACUGCCGCUCAACGGUAGAACUGCCAUUGAUACUGCAAGUCUUGAAUAUGGUUGAGGUAGGCAGAAUGUGUCGUGUAGCGGUGAAAUGCAUAGAUAUGACACAGAACGCCAAUUGCGAAGGCAGCUUACUAAGCCAUUAUUGACGCUGAGGCACGAAAGCGUGGGGAGCGAACAGGAUUAGAUACCCUGGUAGUCC